GCCAGUGUUGAUCAGUGGCUGUCCAGGCCUUUCAGAGCCACUGACACGCCGGCAGCACAAUGAGGAUGUCACUGACUCUACUGCUGGCCACCCUGGGGCUCCUUGUUCAGGAUUCAUCAGGAGAAAUCAUCCUGACUCAGUCUCCUAAAGCUCAGUCUGUUGUUCCAGGACAGACUGUCUCUAUCAGAUGUAAAGCCAGUUCAGGUGUUACCAAUGAUUUGCAGUGGUACCUUCAGAAACCUGGAGAAGCUCCUAAACUCCUCAUUUAUAAUGCUCAGUCCCGUCAGUCUGGAGUUUCAGAGCGUUUCAGUGGGAGUCAGUCUGGAACUGACUUCACUUUGACCAUCAGUGGAGUUCAGACUGAAGAUGCAGGAGUUUAUUACUGUCAGCAGGAUUACAGCAGACCGUUCACACAGUGAAAAAGUGUCAUACAAAAACCUCC